GGUUUGGGCCCGCGGCUGGUGGGACCCGGCGACUCCAUAGGCCUCAGUUUCUCCUCUGGUAACGUGAGCUUCGCUUCCAGAGACGGGGGCCCGCCUCGCCGGGCUAGGCGCACCUCCUGGGGCGGGACUGGCUCCAACGUGGGCCCCUUGCUGCGGCUUUCUCUGCGGCCGAGGCCAGGCCGUUCCCUGGGUGGCCAGGAGAAAACCGUAAACUCUUCAGCCUGCUCCGUGGCUGCGAUCUUGGAAAAAGCACCAAUUCUGUGAUGUGCAGCAGCAUUUACUGGGCAUCUAUGACCCUGUGAUAGGCUUUGGGCUCUUUUUCUGUAAGGAGUCCAGUAAAGGAGAAGUACAUCUGCAUUAUGAACACCUAAAUAUGCCAAAAAGCAAAUGGAUUUCCACCUGACAAAUCCUCGGGAUCCAAGAAGCAGAAACAGUAUCAGCGGAUUCGGAAGGAGAAGCCUCAACAACACAACUUCACCCACCGCCUCCUGGCUGCAGCUCUGAAGAGCCACAGCGGGAACAUAUCUUGCAUGGACUUUAGCAGCAAUGGCAAAUACCUGGCCACCUGUGCAGAUGAUCGCACCAUCCGCAUCUGGAGCACCAAGGACUUCCUGCAGCGAGAGCACCGCAGCAUGAGAGCCAACGUGGAGCUGGAUCACGCCACCCUGGUGCGCUUCAGCCCUGACUGCAGAGCCUUCAUCGUCUGGCUGGCCAACGGGGACACCCUCCGUGUCUUCAAGAUGACCAAGCGGGAGGAUGGGG
rnacentral:sRNA from 1 species